GCAGUCGAGCGGACUGAUGGGAGCUUGCUCCCUGAAGUCAGCGGCGGACGGGUGAGUAACACGUGGGUAACCUGCCUGUAAGACUGGGAUAACUCCGGGAAACCGGGGCUAAUACCGGAUAGUUCUUUUCCUCGCAUGAGGAAAAGUGGAAAGGCGGCUUCGGCUGCCACUUACAGAUGGACCCGCGGCGCAUUAGCUAGUUGGUGAGGUAACGGCUCACCAAGGCAACGAUGCGUAGCCGACCUGAGAGGGUGAUCGGCCACACUGGGACUGAGACACGGCCCAGACUCCUACGGGAGGCAGCAGUAGGGAAUCUUCCGCAAUGGACGAAAGUCUGACGGAGCAACGCCGCGUGAGUGAUGAAGGUUUUCGGAUCGUAAAGCUCUGUUGUUAGGGAAGAACAAGUGCCGUUCGAAUAGGGCGGCACCUUGACGGUGCCUAACCAGAAAGCCACGGCUAACUACGUGCCAGCAGCCGCGGUAAUACGUAGGUGGCAAGCGUUGUCCGGAAUUAUUGGGCGUAAAGCGCGCGCAGGCGGUCUCUUAAGUCUGAUGUGAAAGCCCACGGCUCAACCGUGGAGGGUCA
rnacentral:rRNA from 1 species